AUCCAGAUGACGAGUCCCAUCUAGGAGGAAAUGUACAUCAAGUUGGAU
rnacentral:hammerhead_ribozyme from 1 species